UUCCCUCUCCUUUCUCAUAAUUCCUGCAGGUCCCAGGUCACUGCUUCGUUCUCACGCACAUUUUUAACAUUCCUUCCUGCUGCAGCCUUACCAUACACCUUCCUCUGGGUUUGACCGUGGAAUCUUUCCACCAUUCUGUUUCCAAAGCCCUCUUUCUUUCUCUCUGUCUCUCUCCCUCUUUCUAAUUCUCUGAACCCCUCCUUGUGCUCUCUUUCUCUGAACGCUCCACUUUCCCGCUUAGUCAGCCGACCGGGAUUGCUGGGAUUACAGGUUGGAGGUGACGGCUGUGUGUGUGUGUUCACUAGAGUCCUUUAAUGAUUCACAGACAACAGGCUAACAUUUCCCACCAGAGAGAGAGUGGGGGAGGAUGGAUGGAUGGAUGAAUGAAGAGACAGAGGAUGAGCUGAAGGUGGAAGGAGAGGGGGAGGAGAUGGUCAGCAUGCUGUUUAAAAGCGUCGAGGGAAAGACCACAGGCAGAACGCAGGAUCAAUGGAAAGAUCGAUCUGGAGUUUGUGUCUCUGUCUCUCUGGGUGGUGUGGUCAGUGUGAUGUCAGCGCUGAUACAGAGGGGCAGAGGAGUGGGAGUGAUCUGACAAGAUCAGUGUUGAAGAAAUAAAGAGAGAUGGAG